rnacentral:rRNA from 1 species
UGGGGAAUAUUGCACAAUGGGCGCAAGCCUGAUGCAGCCAUGCCGCGUGUAUGAAGAAGGCCUUCGGGUUGUAAAGUACUUUCAGCGGGGAGGAAGGGAGUAAAGUUAAUACCUUUGCUCAUUGACGUUACCCGCAGAAGAAGCACCGGCUAACUCCGUGCCAGCAGCCGCGGUAAUACGGAGGGUGCAAGCGUUAAUCGGAAUUACUGGGCGUAAAGCGCACGCAGGCGGUUGAUUGAGUCAGAUGUGAAAUCCCCGGGCUUAACCCGGGAAUUGCAUCUGAUACUGGUCAGCUAGAGUCUUGUAGAGGGGGGUAGAAUUCCAUGUGUAGCGGUGAAAUGCGUAGAGAUGUGGAGGAAUACCGGUGGCGAAGGCGGCCCACUGAACAAAGACUGACGCUCAGGUGCGAAAGCGUGGGGAGCAAACAGG